UACGAAGGGGGCUAGCGUUGCUCGGAAUCACUGGGCGUAAAGCGCACGUAGGCGGCUUGUUAAGUCGGUGGUGAAAUCCUGGAGCUCAACUCCAGAACUGCCUCCGAUACUGAGAGUCUUGGAGUCCGGGAGAGGUGAGUGGAGCUGCGAGUGUAGAGGUGAAAUUCGUAGAUAUUCGCAAGAACACCAGUGGCGAAGGCGGCUCACUGGCCCGGUACUGACGCUGAGGUGCGAAAGCGUGGGGAGCAAACAGG
rnacentral:rRNA from 1 species